GCAUCAAACCCAAGAAGAGACUCUGAUUCUCUUGCUUCAUUUUUGGUAUCCAAAUACAGAAUAAACCACCACAACAUAAACCCAGAGUUUUUGUUGCUUCAAAGUUCAAACCAUUUCCUUGUCCAAAUAAGCAAAAGCUUUGACUUUGUUUGUUUUCCUUUAAUAUCUCGUUGACCCAGAUUUAGGAAUAUACCGGCGUGUCAUUUUCAAUUUUUCAUGGUUGAUUCUAAACAAAGAAACCCAGAAAGCUGAGUGAUGAAGACAUGAAGUUUGUUAAGUUGGUAUCUGAAACCAAGUAAAGGUUGUUGCUUUUGGUGGUGGAAUUGGAUUUUGGGUUCCUAAUCAUUGUUUAAAGAAGAGGAGGUCCAGAAAGCUAGGAGUCUUCCAUUGCCAUCGGAGUCUUGUCCACUUUUUAUAUUGUUGUUGAUAGAAAUGGAAUCCACACCAAUUUCACCAAGUGUUGUUGCAAAGUUAAUGGGUCUUGUUGAAUCACCACAACAACAGCCUGUCA